UAUAAAGAAGUAACGUCCACCAUGUCGUCAAUAAUUGGCCAUCAAAUGAUCUCGUUUGUUGUGUCGCACUUUUAAUAUUGCUUAGGUUAAAACAAACUUUACAAAAAAUAAACUCAACUUUUCUAUUAAAAGUUUUUAGUCCGUUUUACUCAUUUGGUUAAGCUAAUCUGUUUUAUUCGUGAUAGUUAACUAUAGCUAACAUAGUCCAAGCUUGUUGCUAUGGAUGUGAGUUUAAGGGUCAGUGCGCAGUGAUUCAGAACGCUACUGACCGGGACUAUGUUUUGGUCCAUGUAACUGGUAGUAAAGCUUCAUUUAUGUAUUUAUUUUUCUAACAAAAUAAAGCUUUAUUGUACCCAGCAGACAUUACUAACGUUAACGUUCAGAUUUAUAGGCGUCCCCCUUUAAAUGGACACCUCUGGACGGUGAAGUCUGAGGACGCUUACCUGGCUUGGCAGAGGAGACCGAUGCUGCCAUGACUGCGAGCAGCAUGAGAAGGUAGAGCAGGUUGAAUAUCCUCAUAGUUAGGUGGCAGCUGGUUUCAGGAGCUGAAACUAAUGAUAAUUUUCACAAAUAAGUCCGGAGAGUCCCUGUAGCUCAAAUCCGGACUGGACUGGAGAUGCUGAGUGUCUUCUCUUCUCUUCUCUCUUCUCUUUUCAGUCGAGAAAUCCUCCUCUGGGAGAAUCCAGUACGAACAAGUAGAUCUCUUCUGAGGAUAAUCGCUAUGUCCCUGAAGGAAUGUGUGUGUCCAGAGUGAUUGUCUCUGUGUCUGAGAGCGAAGUGACAAAGCCACCUGGUAUCCACUGCCCGCUAACUCCUGCCAGACCUCUGCCUCUCCGUGUUCCUCACUUUCUGUCUACCUGCCCUUUGGAGUAAGAUUCAUACCAGAUUCUCCCACCAGGUCUUCGCCGCAGAGCGUGUUGUAAUAAUUUGCACUUAUAAAAGGGAUUAUUCGUGUUUACGAGGAUUACCCAGCCUGCUUGAACACACCCCUGUGAGAGAGGCACACACAGACUGGGUGAGCUCUCAAACUGCUGCAGUACCCUGGCAGGGCUGCAGGUGAAGCUUGUUCUUUCAUUGCGUGAGAGCCAUCUUUGGUUACUUAAACAGUGCAGUGCAUUUUUACAUUGUAUGAAGUGUUUAACAAACAACAAAAUCCCCAAGCGAGCCCAAGAUAACAUGUGAAGAUAAUGAGUUGACAUAGAUAGAAAACAGAACAGCUGCAAAUCCACUUUUGCUGUGGAAAUGACUGAGAAGGAUGAGCAUUUAUCUAAACUGUUUCUUUCUGCUUUGAUAAAACAGCAUCAGGA
ensembl:lncRNA